rnacentral:rRNA from 1 species
AUUGAACGCUGGCGGCAGGCCUAACACAUGCAAGUCGAACGGUAACAGGAAGCAGCUUGCUGCUUUGCUGACGAGUGGCGGACGGGUGAGUAAUGUCUGGGCAACUGCCUGAUGGAGGGGGAUAACUACUGGAAACGGUAGCUAAUACCGCAUAACGUCGCAAGACCAAAGAGGGGGACCUUCGGGCCUCUUGCCAUCGGAUGUGCCCAGAUGGGAUUAGCUAGUAGGUGGGGUAACGUCUCACCUAGGCGACGAUCCCUAGCUGGUCUGAGAGGAUGACCAGCCACACUGGAACUGAGACACGGUCCAUACUCCUACGGGAGGCAGCAGUGGGGAAUAUUGCACAAUGGGCGCAAGCCUGAUGCAGCCAUGCCGCGUGUAUGAAGAAGGCCUUCGGGUUGUAAAGUACUUUCAGCGGGGAGGAAGGGAGUAAAGUUAAUACCUUUGCUCAUUGACGUUACCCGCAGAAGAAGCACCGGCUAACUCCGUG